CUUGGAACUCUGAAGAGUCUCCCUCAUUAAAAACCUUACAAGGAAAACCCAUUGGGACAAAACCUUGCAAGGGAAAAAGAGUAGAGCUCUCCAAAGCCUAGGGAUUGGCCAGUGAGCUCUUGUGCCUUAGAACCAAUGUGGUUGGACACAAGAAGCUCUGGAUCACGGCCUAACAGGUGCAGCAACUCUUCACAGCUUUGCGCACACUUCACACUUCACACUUCAGCUUCACCUCUUCAUGGAACCGGUUUGAAGUCUCCCCCUCUCAACUGACUUCUCAGCCAUCUUAGAGAAGCUAGGACACGACCAGAUCAUCUUCAAAACACUAGUGAGGCUGAUCAAUACUUCACACCCGGCUUGCCCUCUUCAUAGACUAGGUUUAUGGUCUCCCCCUCUCAACAGACUUCACAGCCCCUUUAGAGAAGCUGGGAGAUUCCCCGGAACUGUUUAAUGAGGCUACAAGCAAUGGUACCUGAUACAUUAUCCCAAAGGUGCAUCAGUACCUAUCAAAACCAAGAAAAUGAAUAUCCUGCAUCACACUUGAUGCACACAAUCUCACAAUUCAAUCAUAAUCAUUUUAAGUAUCUUUUCAAGCACAAGCAAUGAAUAAGAUGAA
rnacentral:lncRNA from 1 species